CUUUGAAACACCGGCUCCCGUUCGAUCAACUAAGUUAAGCAAUGUUGGGACUGCGCAGUACCAAGAUGAGUGACCCCUACGGAAUAUAAGAUGCUGUAAG